rnacentral:rRNA from 1 species
CCUACGGGCGGCAGCAGUGAGGAAUAUUGGUCAAUGGACGAGAGUCUGAACCAGCCAAGUAGCGUGAAGGAUGACUGCCCUAUGGGUUGUAAACUUCUUUUAUAUGGGAAUAAAAUGUUCCACGUGUGGGAUUUUGUAUGUACCAUAUGAAUAAGGAUCGGCUAACUCCGUGCCAGCAGCCGCGAUAAUACGGAGGAUCCGAGCGUUAUCCGGAUUUAUUGGGUUUAAAGGGAGCGUAGGUGGAUUGUUAAGUCAGUUGUGAAAGUUUGCGGCUCAACCGUAAAAUUGCAGUUGAAACUGGCAGUCUUGAGUACAGUAGAGGUGGGCGGAAUUCGUGGUGUAGCGGUGAAAUGCUUAGAUAUCACGAAGAACUCCGAUUGCGAAGGCAGUUCACUGGACUGCAACUGACACUGAGGCUCGAAAGUGUGGGUAUCAAACAGGAUUAGAUACCCGGGUAGUC